rnacentral:misc_RNA from 1 species
UCCGGUUUGGCACCGGCGGUCUCCGAUGAGUCCCCGGCAUUACCCGCUGGCAACAUCGGACAGGGGUUGCGCUCGUUGCGCCACUUAAGGCAACACCUCACGGCACGAGCUGACGACAGCCAUGCAGCACCUGUGCGGGCUCCCGAAGGAGGACCGGCUUUCACCGGCUUCACCCCGCAUGUCAAACCCAGGUAAGGUGGGGAUGACGUAGGAGAGUACGUCC